rnacentral:lncRNA from 1 species
GGAAAGUGUGUUUACGUUCAAAGAGAGAGAAAAUAAAAACAUGGGAUCCCCUCGUGCAAGAGCCUCAGUCUGAUGGUCCUCUGAUCGGCCACUUACCAAAGGCGAUAAUGUUUUUCAGUCAGGGGCUGGAAUUACAUCAUUCAGCUUUUUCCCGGGUUCUGAGAGCCUAUGGGAGCCGUAGGAGGUGUCACGUUACAGCAAAGAUCCUCAGUUUUCAAUAAACAGAGCCAAGAAGCUCAAGGAAUGGUCAGAGAGGGCACUUCCUGUACAGACUCUUCUCAGGUUUUUGCCUGCCAUAUGAGUUCUGUUAUACUCACAGACACCAUUCAAACAGUUUUAGAAACUUUAGGGUGUUUUCUAUCCAAAGCCAAUAAUUAUAUGCAUAUUCUAGUUUCUGGGCAGUAGUAAUAACCAGAUUAAAUCGGGUACGUUUUUUAUCCGGCCGUGUAAAUACUGCCCCCUAGCCCUAACAGGUUAACCCUAGCCUUGCCCCGAACUGCCACUCUUAUGGGUCAGAAUAUAAUGAUGUAAUUACGUGUUGGAGGUCUCAGAUGGGAAGCUCCGCAUGGGUCGUUUAGGCUUCUCAGUGACGCACUUCUCCGACGCAACUCUCUGGUUGUCCUCACGAUGUCAGUGUCCUUUGGGCUUAGUGGUCUGAUUCCUCACCCUUUCUCUGAAAGGGGCCUUCUGAGGAUAGACAGCUCUGUAGCUCAGAGCUCACAGCGUAGGAAUUAAACAGUGUAGAUACCACAAUUCAGUGGAGAGUGGAGGCUAGGUGGUUCUGCUUGAAUUCACCCGCUUAGACACAGCUACUCAUCCAUAGCUUGGGUAGAAAAAUAUUUCUUUGUCUUCAACCUUGUGUGGCGUUGUGGAGUUCGUUGACCUUUUGGCUGCAGCCUGGGGUCACUUGGUCUCCUCUGUUCAUUCUUCACUCCCCUGUCUUAUACCUUCGGGUCAGAAGUGGGCAUAACCGCCUUUAGGGCAAUUCUCUGGGCGUACCAAGUUAUUAAGAGGCAAGGCCUAGAUUUUACUCAAAUUCAAUUUUAGACAACUAACUUCACAUUUCAUCUUUACCAAAACAUUCUCUUUGAUUUGGACAUUUUCCACACAAUGUACAAUGUAUAAACAUCAGGCAUAUACUGGGAAAACUCUUAAAGGUACAAUGUUUUCAUAAUAACGUCAUCUGUUAACCUUUAAUUACAAAACAAAAAUUACAUACAUUUUCAUAUUCCAUCUAUCGUCAUGACCACCAUUGUGGCUGACGGAAACCAUUGUUCCAAAGUCCCUUUAUUGCAUGUUUAAUGUUCUGAGGCUGGUUCUCCAUAGUGAGAGGACAAAGAAAUGUUGUCUGUGGCCUAAGAUUUAUCAUGGGCGUGAGGGGUCAUAAAACCCCCACAUCUUCAGACCCCUAGAUCUCUCCUCCUCUGUUGGGGGUUUGGGAGAUAAUCUGUAGGGUUGUGGUCUCCUGUAACCUGACCUGAUCAGGACAGUCAUGACAUUGUUUAACUGAAAUGGAUGAGUUUGGUCUACAGUAUAUAUGUUGCGUUUACACUGGCAACAUAAUUCUGAUCUUUUAUUCACUAAUUGGUAUUUUGACCAAUCAGUUCUGCUCUGAAAAGAAUCUGAUGUGACCAUUUUAGUGGAAAAAAGAUCAGAAUUUGUCUGUCUAAACGCAGCAUAGUGGUUCAUUGGAUGAAAAUAAUUAAUACACACUAAAGGUCUUCAUGGGUCCAACCGAAUACCCGGCCAAGACCCGAUCCGGGACCGAGUGUCCUGUUUGAUUGGUAUCGGCUCUAUGUAAUUAACUGAUAGACCCGAAUGGACCCAACCACGGCUCUACAUAGCCUAUAGCAUAUUUAUUUUAUGCUAAUAAAGGGAAUGUAUUGACUUUUCAAAGGCCUAGCCAACAUAUAAAGACCUAUUUGCUAACUAGAAGAGCAACUUGGCUGAUAAACAUCACUUUUCUUUUGUCUUUGGGUCCAUUCGGGUCCAGGUCCCCCUUUAAAAUAAAUAUCAGGUUCAGGUAUGAUUGGUGACCUCGGGUCCAGGUCUAACUUUCAGGUCCAGGUAUGAUUGGUGACCUCGGGUCCAGGUCUAACUUUCAGGUCCAGGUAUGAUUGGUGACCUCGGGUCCAGGUCUAACUUUCAGGGCCAAGAAGACCUCUAAACCUCAUUGGAGACAUUAACCACGUUUCCAUCCACAGUUUUUAUGCAAGUAAAGUCAUACGGUAUAAAAAAUUAAAUAAUGACAGUUGUGAUGGAAACAGGUCGUUUCAGGUACAAUUUUAUAAAAUAAUUAUAAGUACUGGUGGGAUCUUCUUGUGUCUGUAAAAUGUAUUAUGAAAACACCAUUAUAAGCAAAUAUUGAUAUAACCAUCAUAUCGAAGUCAAUUUUGGAGUCACGCGAUGACAUGGUGUGUGGUCCUCCCACUACGACUCAGGAAACCAUGCAGUUUAUUAGACUACAGAUGAAACAUGUUGUGUGGUCCUCCCACUACGACUCAGGAAACCAUGCAGUUUAUUAGACUACAGAUGAAACAUGUUGUGUGGUCCUCCCACUACGACUCAGGAAACCAUGCAGUUUAUUAGACUACAGAUGAAACAUGUUGUGUGGUCCUCCCACUACGACUCCAGAAACCAUGCAGUUUAUUAGACUACAGAUGAAACAUGUUGUGUGGUCCUCCCACUACGACUCAGGAAACCAUGCAGUUUAUUAGACUACAGAUGAAACAUGUUGUGUGGUCCUCCCACUACGACUCAGGAAACCAUGCAGUUUAUUAGACUACAGAUGAAACAUGUUGUGUGGUCCUCCCACUACGACUCAGGAAACCAUGCAGUUUAUUAGACUACAGAUGAAACAUGUUGUGUGGUCCUCCCACUACGACUCCAGAAACCAUGCAGUUUAUUAGACUACAGAUGAAACAUGUUGUGUGGUCCUCCCACUACGACUCAGGAAACCAUGCAGUUUAUUAGACUACAGAUGAAACAUGUUGUGUGGUCCUCCCACUACGACUCAGGAAACCAUGCGGUUUAUUAGACUACAGAUGAAACAUGUUGUGUGGUCCUCCCACUACGACUCAGGAAACCAUGCGGUUUAUUAGGCUACAGAUUAAAUCAAUUAUGAUCAGGUCUGUAACCAGAGUUUGAGGUUUAAAAAGUGACUCAUUAUGCA